rnacentral:rRNA from 1 species
AGGGAUCAUUGUUGGAACGCGCUUCGGCGCACCUCCAGACAACCCUUUGUGAACUUAUACCUAUGCUGUUGCCUCGGCGUCAGGCUGGCUCCCCUCGGGGGGUCCCUCACCAUCUCGGUGAGGAGCAGGCCCGCCGGCGGCCAAGUUAACUCUUGUUUUUACACUGAAACUCUGAGAAUAAAACAAAAAUGAAUCAAAACUUUCAACAACGGAUCUCUUGGUUCUGGCAUCGAUGAAGAACGCAGCGAAAUGCGAUAAGUAAUGUGAAUUGCAGAAUUCAGUGAAUCAUCGAAUCUUUGAACGCACAUUGCGCCCUCUGGUAUUCCGGAGGGCAUGCCUGUUCGAGCGUCAUUUCAACCCUCAAGCCUGGCUUGGUGAUGGGACACUGCCUUUGACAAAAGGCAGGUCCUGAAAUUCAGUGGCGAGCUCGCCAGGACCCCGAGCGCAGUAGUUAAACCCUCGCUUUGGAAGGUCUUGGUGCGGCCCUGCCGUUAAACCCCCAACUUCUGAAAAUUUGACCUCGGAUCAGGUAGGAAUACCCGCUGAACUUAA